rnacentral:rRNA from 1 species
AGUGAACGCUGGCGGUAGACCUAACACAUGCAAGUCGAACGGCAGCACAGUAAGAGCUUGCUCUUACGGGUGGCGAGUGGCGGACGGGUGAGGAAUACAUCGGAAUCUACUUUUUCGUGGGGGAUAACGUAGGGAAACUUACGCUAAUACCGCAUACGACCUACGGGUGAAAGCAGGGGAUCUUCGGACCUUGCGCGAUUGAAUGAGCCGAUGUCGGAUUAGCUAGUUGGCGGGGUAAAGGCCCACCAAGGCGACGAUCCGUAGCCGGUCUGAGAGGAUGAUCGGCCACACUGGAACUGAGACACGGUCCAGACUCCUACGGGAGGCAGCAGUGGGGAAUAUUGGACAAUGGGCGCAAGCCUGGUCCAGCCAUACCGCGUGGGUGAAGAAGGCCUUCGGGUUGUAAAGCCCUUUUGUUGGGAAAGAAAAGCAGCAGGUUAAUACCCCGCUGUUCUGACGGUACCCAAAGAAUAAGCACCGGCUAACUUCGUG